ensembl:snRNA U6 U6 spliceosomal RNA
GUGCUUGCUUUGGCAGCACAUAUACUGAAAUUGGAACGAUAUAGGGAAGAUUAACACGGCCCCUGCAUAAGAAUGACACACAAAUUCAUGAAGCAUUCCAUAUUUUU